rnacentral:lncRNA from 1 species
UAUUUGGGAGGCUGAGGCAGGAGAAUUGCUUGAACCUGGGAGGUGGAGGUUGCAGUGAGCCAAGAUCUCACCAUUGCAUUCCAGCCUGGGUGAUGGAGCAAGACUCCAUCUCGAAAAAUAAAAAAUAAAAAUAAAACAAGCAUGAGAAGGGACUGAAAGGUGGACAGACAGUAGGGUCCACGGAACAAUGUAGCAAUGAGUUAUCUGGGUUUUCUCUUUCCUUUAUGUAUCCCAGACUUGGAGACAGCCCUGAUGGAGAGGCCACCAAUGCAGAAACAAUAACAGGCACAGAAAAACAACAACAAAAGCUGUCCCUCUCUCUCUAGAAAAAAAAAAAAAAAACAGGGAACGAGCAACCCAGCAAUAGAGAAGAACUUAGACAAUGACUCCUCUACCCUACAGAACACCCCAGAAAAAAUGAUGGCCCCACCGCCCAGGCCAGCAAAGGCAGAGUGGGAGCUUAGACAUCCACCUCCACCCAGCUGUAACCAGGCACCCAAUCCCCCUGCCAGGUGCUGUCAGGGAAGGCUGGGUAGGGAACCUGGACUUCCACCCCCACUCAGCAGUGAGAAGCCCAACUCCCUCCCGCGGGGGUGGCCUCAACCAGGCCACAUGGGGAGUAGUGAGAAAGAAAAGGGACUUUUUAUCUGAGGAAUGCGAGCCCUUUUAAAUGGGCAGACUCAGAGAGGCAUUCAGAUGUGACAGCAGUCACGUCUCACUCCCCACUUGAGCGAAAUAAUUGUCUCUGGAAGCCACCUGCGAUGCAGGCCCUAGACGAACGGACACCACAUAGCCAUGAACACCGUAAACACCACGCACUGGACGCCAUAACUCACACCUGAGCUCAACAAUGCACUGCCAGUCACCGACCGAUGUGAUUUCUGUGAACUAGUAAGAAUUCACAUCAGACAACUCCAGACUGUCAGCCCCCUCCUUGCUUCCUUUUGCCUUUCAAAACUUGCUUGUAGGCCAGGAGCGGUGGCUUACGCCUGGAAUCCCAGCACUUUGGGAGGCUGAGGUGGGUAAUAAUUUGAGGGCAGGAAUUCAAUACCAGCCUGCCCAUCAUGGUGAAACCCUGUCUCUACCAAAAAUACAAUAAUUAGCUGGGCGUGGUGGUGCACACCUGUAAUCCCAGCUACUCAGGAGACUGAAGCAGGAGAAUCACUUGAAUCUGGGAGGCAGAGGUUGCGGUGAGCCGAGUCCACACCACUGUACUCCAGCCUGGGCGAUAGAGCAAGAUUCUGUCUCCAAAAAAAAAAAAAAAACCUGCUUGUAACAAAAGCCAAGCAGACCACUCCCAAAGGCAACUUGGAAGUGCGUCUCCGACAGCUGUCCUCACUUCAACUGAAAUUAACUCUUUAAAAUUGUAUUUUGUGCCUCAGCUUCUUCCUGUAGGUCUUUUGACCCCUCUUGGCCAGGGGCACAUCAAUGGAGGCCCAGUAGAAGCCGGAAUUCACAUCCUCACCCACUGGGGUCCAUGAAGCCCCACUUGCAA